UGGAGGACUGAGAAGGUUGAACAGUUUGUGUUGUGCUGUUUUAACUGGUUAUAGCCUCCAAGAUUACUAAACAAACAUGCUAGAUGUGUGGCUCUCCCUAAAGUGGAGCUAAAAUGUGUGUUUGCAAACAUAAC
ensembl:snoRNA